rnacentral:rRNA from 1 species
CCUACGGGUGACUGCAGUGAGGAAUAUUGGUCAAUGGACGAGAGUCUGAACCAGCCAAGUAGCGUGAAGGAUUACUGCCCUAUGGGUUGUAAACUUCUUUUAUAUGGGAAUAAAAUGUUCCACGUGUGGGAUUUUGUAUGUAACAUAUGAAUAAGGAUCGGCCGACUCCGUGCCAGCAGCCGCGGUAAUACGGAGGAUCCGAGCGUUAUCCGGAUUUAUUGGGUUUAAAGGGAGCGUAGGUGGAUUGUUAAGGCAGUUGUUAAAGUUUGCGGCUCAACCGUAAAACUGCAGUUGAAACUGGCAGUCUUGAGUACAGUAGAGGUGGGCGGAAUGCGUGGUGUAGCGGUGAAAUGCAUAGAUAUCACGAAGAACUCCGAUUGCGAAGGCAGCUCACUGGACUGCAACUGACACUGAGGCUCGAAAGUGUGGGUAUCAAACAGGAUUAGAUACCCGUGUAGUC